CCCAAAUUACAAAAAUAAAUAAAUAGAAUUGACAAUGUGGCUGUCAUGCAGAACAACAAAUUCCUGUCUGAAGCUUCACGUUACUCACCAGGGUUAUGAUGAUCUAGAUGAGACUGCCAAAUCGAGGUUACAUUAGCUGUCUAUUUGUCUAGCCAUUUAAAUGCAUGAGAAAUUCAUAAAAACGAGUUGAGCUGUCUUUGACUUUUAUAAACCACCAGUCUAGCUUGCUAGGUAACUAGCUAGAUAAGCUAGAGCUUCUUGAUAAUGUUUGUGGGUAGCCUAUUUCUAGUACUGCUUGACUUGUAGCUACCCUAGCUAGCUGUAUGAUUUUAGUCUGUCUUUUUGAGCCGUUUCAAUUUGUCACAUGCUUAAAGGUCCGUCUAGCCUGCCAGAAGUUUGAGGGUGGCUGUGGCGCCGGAGUUGAAAUGUAUGAAAGUUGUUUCACAAUGGCUCAUGAUCGGUAAAUGUCACUAAGUUUUUUUGUAAUGGUUGCUUUAUUUGACCACAGCAGAGUUCAAUAUUAUAGAAUCUGUCUAUGCCACCUACAAGGUGAUGAUGGCCAUCAUCAUCCUCCAGGUUUGGAUGAACCAACCAACCAGACCACCAGGGGAAGAGGUCAAUAAAGAUUCAAGGUAAAUUCGGCCUGUUUUGUUAAUUAUCAGUCAUAUUUAUUUUAUUUAACUAGGCAAGUCAGUUAACAGUGGGUUAAUUGCCUGUUCAGGGGCAGAACGACAGAUUUGUACCUUGUCAGCUCGGGGGUUUGAACUUGCAACCUUCCGGUUACUAGUCCAACACUCUAACCACUAGGCUACGCUGCCGCCCCUCAAUAUGGCUUGGGGAUAGAAGCUGUUCAAGAGCUUGUUGGUGUCAGUCUUUAUGUACUGGAACCUCUUGCCGUGCAACAGCAGAGAAAGGUUUAUGGCUUGGGUGGUUGAAGUCUUUGCCGAUUUUCUGGGCCUUCUUUUCACACCGCCUGAUAUAGAGGUCCUGGAUGGCAGGGAGCUCGGCCACAAUGAUGUACUGGGCUGUCCUCACAACACUCUGUAGCGCCAUGUGAUCGAGUUCGGUGCUAUUACCAUACCAAGCAGUGAUGCAGCCAGUCAAUAUGCUCUCAAUGGACCAUUGACUGUCCGAGCCACCCAGGAGGUAUCCCAUCCACCAGAACCAGCGGGUUGUGGUCAGUCUAAUUCUCUGCUCUGAGUUGGAGGGGGACCAGCUUCAGGGGUUCUGCCCAACACCCAGACGUGGAUCCACCCGAGUUCAUCCAUUACCAACCACCCUCCAAAUUUUCAUGACAUCAUCUACAGCUACUGUUAUUGUCUUGUUGUUAUUAUCUGCUAAUAAAGUUAUUGCUCUAUCA